rnacentral:rRNA from 1 species
GACGAACGCUGGCGGCGUGCCUAAUACAUGCAAGUCGAACGAACUCUGGUAUUGAUUGGUGCUUGCAUCAUGAUUUACAUUUGAGUGAGUGGCGAACUGGUGAGUAACACGUGGGAAACCUGCCCAGAAGCGGGGGAUAACACCUGGAAACAGAUGCUAAUACCGCAUAACAACUUGGACCGCAUGGUCCGAGCUUGAAAGAUGGCUUCGGCUAUCACUUUUGGAUGGUCCCGCGGCGUAUUAGCUAGAUGGUGGGGUAACGGCUCACCAUGGCAAUGAUACGUAGCCGACCUGAGAGGGUAAUCGGCCACAUUGGGACUGAGACACGGCCCAAACUCCUACGGGAGGCAGCAGUAGGGAAUCUUCCACAAUGGACGAAAGUCUGAUGGAGCAACGCCGCGUGAGUGAAGAAGGGUUUCGGCUCGUAAAACUCUGUUGUUAAAGAAGAACAUAUCUGAGAGUAACUGUUCAGGUAUUGACGGUAUUUAACCAGAAAGCCACGGCUAACUACGUGCCAGCAGCCGCGGUAAUACGUAGGUGGCAAGCGUUGUCCGGAUUUAUUGGGCGUAAAGCGAGCGCAGGCGGUUUUUUAAGUCUGAUGUGAAAGCCUUCGGCUCAACCGAAGAAGUGCAUCGGAAACUGGGAAACUUGAGUGCAGAAGAGGACAGUGGAACUCCAUGUGUAGCGGUGAAAUGCGUAGAUAUAUGGAAGAACACCAGUGGCGAAGGCGGCUGUCUGGUCUGUAACUGACGCUGAGGCUCGAAAGUAUGGGUAGCAAACAGGAUUAGAUACCCUGGUAGUCCAUACCGUAAACGAUGAAUGCUAAGUGUUGGAGGGUUUCCGCCCUUCAGUGCUGCAGCUAACGCAUUAAGCAUUCCGCCUGGGGAGUACGGCCGCAAGGCUGAAACUCAAAGGAAUUGACGGGGGCCCGCACAAGCGGUGGAGCAUGUGGUUUAAUUCGAAGCUACGCGAAGAACCUUACCAGGUCUUGACAUACUAUGCAAAUCUAAGAGAUUAGACGUUCCCUUCGGGGACAUGGAUACAGGUGGUGCAUGGUUGUCGUCAGCUCGUGUCGUGAGAUGUUGGGUUAAGUCCCGCAACGAGCGCAACCCUUAUUAUCAGUUGCCAGCAUUAAGUUGGGCACUCUGGUGAGACUGCCGGUGACAAACCGGAGGAAGGUGGGGAUGACGUCAAAUCAUCAUGCCCCUUAUGACCUGGGCUACACACGUGCUACAAUGGAUGGUACAACGAGUUGCGAACUCGCGAGAGUAAGCUAAUCUCUUAAAGCCAUUCUCAGUUCGGAUUGUAGGCUGCAACUCGCCUACAUGAAGUCGGAAUCGCUAGUAAUCGCGGAUCAGCAUGCCUCGGUGAAUACGUUCCCGGGCCUUGUACACACCGCCCGUCACACCAUGAGAGUUUGUAACACCCAAAGUCGGUGGGGUAACCUUUUAGGAACCAGCCGCCUAAGGUGGGACAGAUGAUUAGGGUG